rnacentral:rRNA from 1 species
AUUGAACGCUGGCGGCAUGCUUUACACAUGCAAGUCGAACGGCAGCACGAAAGAGCUUGCUCUUUUGGUGGCGAGUGGCGAACGGGUGAGUAAUGCAUCGGAACGUACCGAGUAAUGGGGGAUAACUGUCCGAAAGGAUAGCUAAUACCGCAUACGCUUUGAGAAGGAAAGUGGGGGCUCUUCGGACCUCACGUUAUUCGAGCGGCCGAUGUCUGAUUAGCUAGUUGGUGGGGUAAAGGCCUACCAAGGCGACGAUCAGUAGCGGGUCUGAGAGGAUGAUCCGCCACACUGGGACUGAGACACGGCCCAGACUCCUACGGGAGGCAGCAGUGGGGAAUUUUGGACAAUGGGCGCAAGCCUGAUCCAGCCAUGCCGCGUGUCUGAAGAAGGCCUUCGGGUUGUAAAGGACUUUUGUUAGGGAAGAAAAGGAUAGUGUUAAUACCAUUACCUGCUGACGGUACCUAAAGAAUAAGCACCGGCUAACUACGUG